rnacentral:tRNA from 1 species
GCUUAUAUAGUUUAAUAAAAAUAUUAAUUUGUGGUGUUAAUGAUAUUGUAAAAUUUUAAGUA